rnacentral:rRNA from 1 species
AGCGAAAUUCCUUGUCGGGUAAGUUCCGACCUGCACGAAUGGCGUAACGAUCUGGCGACUGUCUUAACGAGCAGCACAGCGAAUUUGUAGUUCCGGUGAAGAUGCCGGGUACCCGCGUCUAGACGGAAAGACCCCGUGGACCUUUACUAUAACUUGACAGUGAAUUUGGGCGUUGGAUGCGUAGGAUAGGUGGGAGGCUUUGAACUCGGGCUCUUGGGCUCGGGGGAGCCAACGGUGAAAUACCACCCUUCCUGCGUUCGAGUUCUAACCUACUCCCGUCAUCCGGGAGAGGGACACUAUCAGGCGGGUAGUUUGACUGGGGCGGUCGCCUCCUAAACGGUAACGGAGGCGCGCGAUGGUUGGCUCAGGGUGUUUGGAAAUCACCUGUAGAGUGUAAAGGCAUAAGCCAGCCUGACUGUGAGACAAACAAGUCGAGCAGAGACGAAAGUCGGCCUUAGUGAUCCGGCGGUUCCAUAUGGAAGGGCCGUCGCUCAACGGAUAAAAGGUACCCCGGGGAUAACAGGCUGAUCUUGCCCAAGCGUCCACAGCGACGGCAGGGUUUGGCACCUCGAUGUCGGCUCAUCGCAUCCUGGGGGUGCAGAAGCUCCCAAGGGUUCGGCUGUUCGCCGAUUAAAGCGGUACGUGAGCUGGGUUUAGAACGUCGUGAGACAGUUCGGUCCCUAUCUGGCGUGGGCGUAGGAGAAUUGACGGAAUCUGACCUUAGUACGAGAGGACCGGGUUGGAUCGACCUCUAGUGUAACGGUUAUCGUGCCAACGGUAGCGCCGUGUAGCUAUGUCGGGCAGGGAUAAACGCUGAAUGCAUCUAAGCGUGAAGCCCGACCGAAGAUGAGUUCUCCCUAUGAGACCCCUGGAAGACUACCAGGUUGAUAGGCUGGAUGUGUAAGCGUGGUAACGCGUUUAGCUGACCAGUACUAAUCGGUCCAUCGGCUUGACCAUAAAG